rnacentral:misc_RNA from 1 species
AAGUCAUAACAAGGUUUCCGUAGGUGAACCUGCGGAAGGAUCAUUAAUAAUGCUCUCUGGCUUCGGUCAGUUGAGUUCAAUGAGUGCCUUCUCUUCGGAGUUGGCCAUCCAUACACACCGUGAACUGUGGCUUCGGCCAUCACAAACUGUUAGUAAUGAAUGUAAUAUCAUAACAAAAACAAAACUUUUAACAACGGAUCUCUUGGCUCUC